rnacentral:tRNA from 2 species
CUCUCCGUAGUUCAAUGGAUAGAACGGGCGCCUCCUAAGCGCCAGAUACAGGUUCGAUUCCUGUCGGGGGGA